rnacentral:rRNA from 1 species
AACGAACGCUGGCGGCAUGCCUAACACAUGCAAGUCGAACGAGGCCUUCGGGUCUAGUGGCGCACGGGUGCGUAACGCGUGGGAACCUGCCCUUAGGUUCGGAAUAACUCCCCGAAAGGGGUGCUAAUACCGGAUAGUCUCUUCGGACCAAAGAUUUUUUGCCUUUGGAUGGGCCCGCGUUAGAUUAGCUAGUUGGUAGGGUAAAAGCCUACCAAGGCGACGAUCCAUAGCUGGUCUGAGAGGAUGAUCAGCCACACUGGGACUGAGACACGGCCCAGACUCCUACGGGAGGCAGCAGUGGGGAAUAUUGGACAAUGGGCGAAAGCCUGAUCCAGCAAUGCCGCGUGAGUGAUGAAGGCCUUAGGGUUGUAAAGCUCUUUUACCCGGGAUGAUAAUGACAGUACCGGGAGAAUAAGCUCCGGCUAACUCCGUG